GGUUCCAUAGUGUGGUGGUUAGCACAUCAGCUUUACACGCAGAAGGUCCUGAGUCCACACCCCAGUGAAGCCA
rnacentral:tRNA from 1 species